rnacentral:rRNA from 1 species
UAUUAGUCUAGUAAUUGGAAUGAGUGCGAUUCACAACGCUGCACGAGUAUCAAUUGGAGGGCAAGUCUGGUGCCAGCAGCCGCGGUAAUUCCAGCUCCAAUAGCGUAUAUUAAAGUUGUUGCGGUUAAAACGCUCGUAGUUGGAUAUCUGCCAGCACAGGGUGCUCCGCCCAAGGGGUGUGUAGCCAUCUGUGUGCUGGCAUCAUCCUGGGGAGUGUAUCUGCACUUGAUUGUGCGGGGCAUGAGCCAGGGCAUUUACUUUGAGGAAAUGAGAGUGCUUCAAGCAGGCGUGCGCCGUGAAUACGUUAGCAUGGAAUAAUAGUAUCGGACCGCGUCCCAAAGCUGUUGGUUUCUUGGGGCGUGGUAAAGAUGAAUAGGGAUUGUUGGGGGCAUUCGUAUUUAACUGUCAGAGGUGAAAUUCUUGGAUUUGUUGAAGACGCACUACUGCGAAAGCAUCUGCCAAAGAUGUUCACAUUGAUCAAGAACGAAAGUUGGGUGAUCGAAGACGAUCAGAUACCGUCCUAGUCUUAACCAUAAACUAUGCCGACUGGAGAUGGGGGGUCGUUACGUUUAUGACGCCUUCUGCAUCUUGGGAGAAAUCAAAGUCUUUG